GACGAACGCUGGCGGCGUGCUUAACACAUGCAAGUCGAGCGGAAAGGCCACUUCGGUGGUACUCGAGCGGCGAACGGGUGAGUAACACGUGAGUAAUCUGCCCCUGGCUUUGGGAUAGCCACCGGAAACGGUGAUUAAUACCGGAUACGACCACUUCUCGCAUUGGAUGAGGGUGGAAAGGUUUUUCGGCCAGGGAUGUGCUCGCGGCCUAUCAGCUUGAUAGUGAUGUAAUGGCUCACCAUGGCUUCGACGGGUAGCCGGCCUGAGAGGGUGACCGGUCACACUGGGACUGAGACACGGCCCAGACUCCUACGGGAGGCAGCAGUGGGGAAUAUUGGACAAUGGGCGGAAGCCUGAUCCAGCAACGCCGCGUGAGGGAUGACGGCCUUCGGGUUGUAAACCUCUUUCAGCAGGGACGAAGCGCAAGUGACGGUACCUGCGGAAGAAGCACCGGCCAACUACGUGCCAGCCGCCGCCGUAA
rnacentral:rRNA from 1 species